CCUACGGGUGGCAGCAGUGAGGAAUAUUGGACAAUGGGGGAAAUCCUGAUCCAGCCAAGCCGCGUGAGUGAAGAAGUCAUUCGGUAUUGAAAGCUCUAUCAGCAGGGAAGAAAAUGACGGUACCUGUGUAAGAAUCCCCGGCUAACUACGUACCAGCACCCGAGGUAAUGCGGAGGGGGCAACGGUUAUCCGGAUUUACUGGGUGUAAAGGGAGCGUAGACGGUAGGGUAAGUCUGUAGGGAAAGGGGGGGGUUCAAACCCCGGAGGGCUCUGGAAACUGUAAGGCUGGAGUGCAGGAGAGGUAAGCGGAAUUCGUGGUGUAGCGGUGAAAUGCGUAGAUAUUAGGAGGAACACCAGUGGCGAAGGCGGCUUACUGGACUGUAACUGACGGUGAGGCACGAAAGCGUGGGGAGCAAACAGGAUUAGAUACCCCUGUAGUC
rnacentral:rRNA from 1 species